ACUCAAAUUCAUACUAAGAGAAUUUUACACACUGCCCAUCCAUCACUCUCUCCCUCCUUUCUCUCCAAACCUCUCUCUCUCUCUCCCUUUUUUCUCCUUCUCUCUUCCUCUCUCCCUCUCUCUCUUCUCUUCUCUUUUCUCCCUCCCUCUCUCUCUCUCUCCCUUUUUUCUCCUUCUCUCUUCCUCUCUCCCUUUCUAUCUCUUCUCUUUUCUCCCUCCCUCUCUCUCUCUCCCUUUUUUCUCCUUCUCUCUUCCUCUCUCCCUCUCUCUCUUCUCUUCUCUUUUCUCCCUCCCUCUCUCUUUCUCUCUCUCCCUUUUUUCUCCUUCUCUCUUCCUCUCUCCCACUCUCUCUUCUCUUCUCUUUUCUCCCUCCCUCUCUCUCUCUCUCUCCCCUUACUCUAUCUCUGUCUCUCUCCCUCUCUGUUUCUCUCUUUGUCUCUCCCUCCCCUCUCUUCUCUCUUUGUUUUUGCAAAGCAUUUUCUUUUUUUUUUAAUGUCCUAUUUAUUUAGUUUGGGGUUUGUUUUACAGAUUUACAAUUACAGAUAUGCCACACUAAAACUCCCUUGAAACAAACAAAAAAAAGUGAAGGAAAACCUAAAGAAAUUGAUCACAUAAUUGUCUCACACUAUAGGAAGUAUCCAAGACCCCUAGCCCCCCAUUUCUCUGCUGGCAGUGCUCCCUCUGCCAAAAAUCAGAAUAGCUAUUCAUUCCAAAGUUGGAGGAAACAACAAAAGGAAAUUCUACUCUAGAACGGAUUCUCACUCAUAAGGAAGAAAUUAAAAGGAAAAUACUCAUUCCAUCUUUUUUGUUUUCAAACCCUUACUAAAAAAAAAAAAGCUUUCAAUCCUUACCUUUCAUCUUAGAAUCAAUGCUGUGUAUUGGUUCCAAGGCAGAACAGUAAGGGCUAAGCAAUGGGGGUGAAGUGACUAUCCCAGGGUCACACAGCUAGGAAGUGUCUGAGGCUAGUUUUGAAUCCAAGACCUUCUGGAUCCCAACCUGCCUCUUAAUCCACUGAGCUACCUAGCUACCCACAUAACCAUUCCAUCUUAGAAAUUAGGAGGCAAGGAUCGAGGAGAGGCAUAUUAGCUGUCUUUAAAUAUCACAUAAAAGAGAAAUUCUACUUGUUCUACUUGGCCUCUUGAGAACAGUAUUAGGUACAAUUUGGAAAAGUUGGAAAAAAGCAAUUUUAGGCCUAGAGCAAAAAAAAAAAACUUUCCUAAUAUAAGUCCCCUUUUGGCUAUGCUCUCCCAACUUACACUUGCAAUUUGGAUUCCCCAGGGCACUAUUAUCUCCAUUUCAAGGUACUCUGUGAGUGUGUAUUAUUAAAACUAUAGCUCACAAGCACCUAUUAAUAUGUUUGCCUUUCAGGAGUCAGCUAAUUAAGUCAACACCAAGGCAUUUACUAAAAUGGCAACCAAACAUCUCUCCCAUAAACUUGGAGCAUAGACUCUCACGGAUAAACAUAGCAUCCAUGGGAAGGAUGGAUAGCCAUGGAAUUCAUAAAUGGGAGAGUCACACAAGUAGGCAAAAGAACUUACCUCCAACAUCUCCCUCCCUCCCCUCAUUG
rnacentral:lncRNA from 1 species